UACGGAAGGCAGCAGUGGGGAAUAUUGCACAAUGGGCGCAAGCCUGAUGCAGCCAUGCCGCGUGUAUGAAGAAGGCCUUCGGGUUGUAAAGUACUUUCAGUCGUGAGGAAGGUGUUAAGGUUAAUAACCUUAGCAAUUGACGUUAGCGACAGAAGAAGCACCGGCUAACUCCGUGCCAGCAGCCGCGGUAAUACGGAGGGUGCGAGCGUUAAUCGGAAUUACUGGGCGUAAAGGGCACGCAGGCGGUUAAUUAAGUUGGAUGUGAAAUCCCCGGGCUUAACCUGGGAAUGGCAUUCAAGACUGGUUAGCUAGAGUCUUGUAGAGGGGGUAGAAUUCCAUGUGUAGCGGUGAAAUGCGUAGAGAUGUGGAGGAAAUACCGGGUGGCGAAGGCGGCCCCUGGGACAAAGACUGACGCUCAUGUGCGAAAGCGUGGGGAGCAAAACAGGAUUAGAUACC
rnacentral:rRNA from 1 species